rnacentral:rRNA from 1 species
GUAGUUGCCAUCAUUCAGUUGGGCACUCUAAGCGAGACUCGCCGGUAAAUAACCGGAGGAAGGUGGGAUGACGUCAAAUCAUCAUGCCCCUUAUGACCUGGGCUACACACGUGCUACAAUGGUUGGUACAACGAGUUGCGAGUCGGUGACGGCGAGCUAAUCUCUUAAAGCCAAUCUCAGUUCGGAUUGUAGGCUGCAACUCGCCUACAUGAAGUCGGAAUCGCUAGUAAUCGCGGAUCAGCACGCCGCGGUGAAUACGUUCCCGGGCCUU